GCCGCCAGGCGAGCGACUGCCCCACCGUCACCUCGGCCCCACACCGCAACGUUUGACAUUUCAGACGCAGCGCGUGACAACAUUACAACCUCAAACCUCCUUACAUGGAAUUGCUUCAGUGUCACUUUGGAGCUUGUAAACGCUGAACUAUGAAACGUUUUUGACUUUAACGCUCUUUGCAAAACACUUUUAGUGUAAUAAUAAAAUUAGAAGACUAUACUGAUUUUCUUAUGACUUAUGGAUUGAGUAAAUAAAGGAAAAAUUUUGUGAAGUGUUGACUUGAAAAUGUAUAAGUGUAUUAUUUUUUGUGAUCGUGUGAGUGACUGAAAGAAAAGAGACGAGGCGUGCUCACGAGUUCACGGCUCGUUAAUUCCGAAUCCGGUGGAGAUCUUCGCCAGCUUCCGUUCAUCGGUGAUAAAUUUUAUGACAAACGAUUAAACCAAUGGUUGGGUUUUUGGCACAUGACGGCAGCCAGUCGAAAACAUGACUUGGUGGCCGCGGGCGCGCGAGAAAGCAGUGUCCGGAUGAGCGCGCGAGCGGGGCGGGGCGCGCGGG
rnacentral:lncRNA from 1 species